GCGGCCCUCUUGUAGCGAUUCUUGAGAUUCGCCUCCGGCCUUCUAAGCCGAAUGUCCCAGGUUCGAUUCCUGGCGGGCGCG
rnacentral:tRNA from 1 species